UACAUGGAUUCAAUUUGAAGUCUCCAGCCAACAUACUCUAUUGACCAAAGACUUGGGGAUGUACCAUAUAUUAGGCCUUAAUUGGGCCUCAUGAAAAAUACUUGGGGGACUUAGCCUAUUAUUUAUGUAUCGAGGAGAGCAUCGCCGCCUGCUGAGUAACCGCCUCGCCGCGAGCAUCACUCCUAACCCAUCACUUAUGUAUUGAGGAACGAGCCCUUAGUUUAUAAAAGGGACUCCCUCACCAUCAUUAAAAAGCAUCGCCGCCUGCUCUAGCCCAUCAUUUAUGUAUUGAGGAGCGAGCCCUUAUUCUAUAAAAGGGACUCCCUCACCUUCAACCGCCACAAGCCGAGCCAACCAAGGCAACAUAAGCCACAAGCCGAGCAGCCUCGCAACAUGUACUACAUCUAGUUGAGCCUUAUUUCACAUUGAGCGUCGCCUCAUAUCGAGUAUUCAGCUCUAGACGACAUCUAGUUACUUCGGUCCACACAUGGACUGAAUUUCAAGUCUCCAGCCAAAAGACUCUCUUGAUAAAAGACUUGGGGGACUAGUGUUUGUACCAUACUUAGGGUCUCCGUAUUUAGAUCUCGUAUAAAUACUCGGGGGACUUAAAUGUAAUUAUGUAAUAAAGGAAUGGGCAAAUAUGUAAUAAGCGAGGAGCCCUUAUUCUAUAAAAGGACUUCUCACCCUCACAAUUAGGGGAGGCCAAUUCCUAGGCCAUGGAAGGGCUCUCUCACCCUCAGAAGCUCUCUCCAUCUCUCUCCCUCACCUCUCAGAUAAAUAUAAUAUCAGUGUGGACGUAGCCCAAACAUUGGGGCGAACCACAAUACAUCUUGUAUUAUUUACAUUUCUUGCAGAUUCACGGUCGGAUUUACGUUGUUCCAAGACCUCCGGUUUUGUGCAUCGACAUAAUUAAUAAAUGAGGUGACUAAAUGUAUUAAGGGACGAAAAUUAGAUAUUGAUCUUACACAAGGUUAUACUCUAAAAUUAUCUUUUCCAAGGAUUAAAAUGAAGUUUUCUAAUAAAUACUAGCAUAUGCCCCACACUUUGUGUGUGAAAAUAAUUUGAAUUGUAAAAUGGGAAGGAGAAAGGAGAAAAAAAAAGGAAUGUGGAUUCGAGAUAGAAGUUUUCUUUUUUGUAUUUUAUUUUUCAAAAUUAGAGGAUGUAGGGUUUAAAAAAACUGCAAAAUUUAAUUUGUGUGAAUUUACUUUACUGCCCAUGAUUUUGUUUUGUGGUAGGAGACAAAAUUAUCGUUUUACUCUCUUUUGAUUGACAAAGAGGGUUUUAUUAAUGUAGUUUAGACAUCUAUAAAAUAUGUAUGUAUGUAUGUUUGUAUGGUUAGGCAAUUUAAACCAUACAUGUAUAAUGACGGUUACUUUUUUAUACUGGAAUUAUUUCCCAUUUAGCUAGCGGUUGAUGAUAAAGAUAAAAUACUCUCUUAAUUCCUGUUAAAAAGGCCACGUAAUAAACACCAAGUAAUUUUAACUAGCUUGACACACAAGAAACCCUAGCCCAUUGUUACCUAUAUAAAUACAUGCCGCUAGCUAAUGAUCACCCUAUUCAGUAUCAUUACUUGCUCAUCGCCUCCGCUUUUCUCAUUCUUCUCAAAUCCUUGCUAUUAGAAAGUUA
rnacentral:lncRNA from 1 species